rnacentral:rRNA from 1 species
UACGUAGGGGGCGAGCGUUGUCCGGAUUUAUUGGGCGUAAAGAGCGUGUAGGCGGCCAAGCAGGUCCGUUGUGAAAACUGGAGGCUUAACCUCCAGACGUCGACGGAAACCGCGUGGCUAGAGUCCGGAAGAGGAGAGUGGAAUUCCUGGUGUAGCGGUGAAAUGCGCAGAUAUCAGGAAGAACACCAAUGGCGAAGGCAGCUCUCUGGGACGGUACUGACGCUGAGACGCGAAAGCGUGGGGAGGCGAACAGG